CGGCGGACGGGUGAGUAACACGUGGAUAACCUACCUAUAAGACUGGGAUAACUUCGGGAAACCGGAGCUAAUACCGGAUAAUAUAUUGAACCGCAUGGUUCAAUAGUGAAAGACGGUUUUGCUGUCACUUAUAGAUGGAUCCGCGCCGCAUUAGCUAGUUGGUAAGGUAACGGCUUACCAAGGCAACGAUGCGUGGCCGACCUGAGAGGGUGAUCGGCCACACUGGAACUGAGACACGGUCCAG
rnacentral:rRNA from 1 species